rnacentral:rRNA from 1 species
AGUGAACGCUGGCGGUAGGCCUAACACAUGCAAGUCGAACGGCAGCACAGUAAGAGCUUGCUCUUACGGGUGGCGAGUGGCGGAAGGGUGAGGAAUACAUCGGAAUCUACUUUUUCGUGGGGGAUAACGUAGGGAAACUUACGCUAAUACGGCAUACGACCUACGGGUGAAAGCAGGGGAUCUUCGGACCUUGCGCGAUUGAAUGAGCCGAUGUCGGAUUCGCUAGUUGGCGGGGUAAAGGCCCACCAAGGCGACGAUCCGUAGCUGGUCUGAGAGGAUGAUCAGCCCCACUGGAACUGAGACACGGUCCAGACUCCUACUGGAGGCAGCAGUGGGGACUAUCGGACAAUGGGCGCAAGCCUGAUCCAGCCAUACCGCGUGGGUUAAGAAGGCCUUCCGGUUGUAAAGCCCUUUUGUUGGGAAAGAAAAGCAGCAGGUUAAUACCCCGCUGUUCUGACGGUACCCAAAGAAUAAGCACCGGCUAACUUCGUG